UUCAGAUUAUUCGAGUUUUAUUAGCACAACUCGGUUCGUUUUCCACUUUCUCCCCAUCAUUUCACGACAUUCUCUCUCCUCCAACGAAGCUUCUUCUUCUUCUGAGCUUCUUCUUCUUCUUCUGAGCUUCUUCCUCCAUUGAAACUUCUUCCUCCGAGCUUCUUCCAAGCUUAUUUCGAGCUCCUUACUCCAUUGAAGCUCGUUCUGAGCCCAAUCUUUUUUGUUUCUCCUUCAAUUGCUCAUUUGGAAAACCCUAAAUCAAGUUUUAGAGAGAGAUUGAGUUUGUAAAUGUACCAAUGGAUCGCUAAGGUUAAAGAAGGGUAGCAUUUAUCGGAAAGAUGAGCUUUAGCUUCUCUACAAAUCGGGUUAUGAUUGUUUAGGAUACAUUAAAUAUUUUGAUUCCCAUUUUGCAAACAUUACUGGAGGUGUUGAAAUAAUCAAAAAUUGCGUUUGUCUACACGAGGAAGACCAUGGAAUGCUAUGGAAGCACCAAAACUGGCGAACAGGGUUAGCCGAAGUGAAAAGUUCAAGUAGGCUUACUGUUUCAUUCAUAUGCACAGUGGCCAAUUAAGAGUACGGAUUCUACUAGCACUUUUACCAGGCAAGUUUUUUUUGGCCUAGUUUCUACACUCGGUUUAUUUGGUGAUCAUUUGUUUGACAAGAAAGAUUCAGAAGAUGUGGCAGUACCAAGGUUUGAAUUGUGUGGUUGAUUUAAGUGCAACCAUUAGAACCCUAAAAUUUUUGGUAGGUAAGUAGAAAGAAUAAUGAAGCUAACAGUUUUUUGUACUUCCCAGAUACCUAUCUUUCCUAAAAAGUUUUAUUUCUUGGGGAGUUACCUUCUUAAUUCAAACCAAGGAAACAAUCCGUUGAGUUAAUAGAUGAAAACUGAAACUCGUGUGUGCUUUUUAUGCUUGGACUUAAAAGUAUGGUUGUCUUAUAGGAUGACAAGAUUGAGGCUGAGGUUAGACUUGUUGCGAUUUAUUACCAUAUAAGAAUAAUGUUGCGUGGGACUUUUCUCAUUCCCACUUUUCCCAACUCAUUUUCUUUUGUAUUCUCACUCGGACUUACAACAAGACUUACUAGGAUUCUCACCAUAGGAGCCCUUCUACCUGGUGAAGUCCGAAAAUAUGGUACUACAAUUGCUCCUGGGUUGUAUGCACCAGUACAUUUCAUGUAUAGUUCAGGUACUUCAGAUCAAGUAAUCAAUCAGUAUGGGUCAGUGCGCUUAAGUUUGCUUGGAAGUUGGAAGCAAUCGAGUUUGCUCCUAUAUCUGAUUUCUCCUUGGUUUAAGAUGCCUUUAUUUUUAGUUAUUGCUAUUCAAAUAUCUUACCGGUAGAUCAAGAACUGAUUUCUCCUAUGCCUUUGUUUUUAGUUAUUUCUAUUCAGAUAUCUUACUGGUAGAUCAAGAACUAGAUAACGUUGAAGCUAAUUUUCCCCUUCAAGUGAAUUGUUUCACGAACUGUUGUUUGGAACUCUGAUAGGUGUGUGUUUGGUGCAUAACUACUUUAAACUGCUGGAAGGGACAGAAGCAUCCUCAAUGACGAGAACUUUUUAUUCUUUUUAUUUUCUACCUCCUUGUUAUAAUGUUGUUUCGUCUACCUAAUUGGAGGGGCAAUUGAAGUCUGAUUUGAUUUAUACAAACAUCUUAAAGCUACCAAUUGUGUAAUCACGGAAUUGUGGAAGCAUUUGUGAAGUGUAGACCUUCUAUUUUCAUGCUUCUCUUUUACUACAUGCAAUUGAAUAAUAAAUCUAAGAAAGUAAUAAAUGUGUUUAACUACUUGAUCAA